CUACGAAGGGGCUAGGCGUUGCUCGGAAUCACUGGGCGUAAAGCGCACGUAGGCGGACUCUUAAGUCGGUGGUGAAAUCCGUGGAGCUCAACUCCAGAACUGCCCUUCGAUACUGAGAGUCUUGAGUCCGGGAGAGGUGAGUGGGAACUGCGAGUGUAGAGGUGAAAUUCGUAGAAUAUUCGGAAGAACACCAGAGGCGCAAGGAGG
rnacentral:rRNA from 1 species